rnacentral:lncRNA from 1 species
CCUGCUUUCACUGUGCUUCAGUGCUAACUUAGCCACAAUAACAAACACACAGGAGGAAGAUGGGUUGUUUACCUGAAUAUACAGACUGAUUCUAAUGGGCAGAUUUUCAAGGUGUCUUCAUCUGUAUGCUGCCAGAUCUGUGGGCAUGCUGCCAGGAUGCUCUAUCAUGCCAGAAAGCUCUACAUUCCCACCAGCCGUCUCGAUCUUGACAAGUGGAGAUUAACGGAUGCUUCAAGUCCCCUUUUGAUUUACAUAAACCAUUCUGAAGUGACAUGAUUAAAGAUGGCAGUGCAGCAGAAAAUGCAUACGUUUGUGUUACUAAACAGCUCUGCUGUAUCUUACAGUAAUAAUUAAAACACUCUUGGAAAUAGCAUAUGCAGAAUGGCAAAAGGUCGCCAUUUCUGGUGCAGAACAACUUUACUAACACACCAAAACUAUCUGCUGUGUUUGUUUUGGCAUAACUUAUUUAUACUUUAUCUAUUAGGUGACACAGAAAGGUAAUUGACUGUCUCAGAUAUCCUAGAUGUGAGAUGUUACUUCCCCUGCUACAUUCAAAUCACAUACAAAGGCAUGCACAGACUUAUGCUUUGAGAAUGUCUGGUCUGAGUGGAAAAACAAAUGCUUGCUUCAUUAUACAGUGG